UACGUAGGGUGCAAGCGUUGUCCGGAAUUAUUGGGCGUAAAGAGCUCGUAGGCGGUCUGUCACGUCGGCUGUGAAAACCUGGGGCUCAACUCCGGGCCUGCAGCCGAUACGGGCAGACUAGAGUUCGGCAGGGGAGACUGGAAUUCCUGGUGUAGCGGUGAAAUGCGCAGAUAUCAGGAGGAACACCGAUGGCGAAGGCAGGUCACUGGGCCGCAACUGACGCUGAGGAGCGAAAGCAUGGGGAGCGAACAGG
rnacentral:rRNA from 1 species